rnacentral:rRNA from 1 species
CAGACCGCCAGCUAAGGUCCCAAAGUCAUGGUUAAGUGGGAAACGAUGUGGGAAGGCCCAGACAGCCAGGAUGUUGGCUUAGAAGCAGCCAUCAUUUAAAGAAAGCGUAAUAGCUCACUGGUCGAGUCGGCCUGCGCGGAAGAUGUAACGGGGCUAAACCAUGCACCGAAGCUGCGGCAGCGACGCUGAUGCGUUGUUGGGUAGGGGAGCGUUCUGUAAGCCUGUGAAGGUGGCCUGUGAGGGUUGCUGGAGGUAUCAGAAGUGCGAAUGCUGACAUAAGUAACGAUAAAGCGGGUGAAAAGCCCGCUCGCCGGAAGACCAAGGGUUCCUGUCCAACGUUAAUCGGGGCAGGGUGAGUCGACCCCUAAGGCGAGGCCGAAAGGCGUAGUCGAUGGGAAACGGGUUAAUAUUCCCGUACUUGGUGUUACUGCGAAGGGGGGACGGAGAAGGCUAUGUUGGCCGGGCGACGGUUGUCCCGGUUUAAGCGUGUAGGUGUGUGUUCCAGGUAAAUCCGGUUCACUUUAACACUGAGGCGUGAUGACGAGGCACUACGGUGCUGAAGCAACAAAUGCCCUGCUUCCAGGAAAAGCCUCUAAGCAUCAGGUAACAUCAAAUCGUACCCCAAACCGACACAGGUGGUCAGGUAGAGAAUACCAAGGCGCUUGAGAGAACUCGGGUGAAGGAACUAGGCAAAAUGGUGCCGUAACUUCGGGAGAAGGCACGCUGACACGUAGGUGAAGUGAUUUACUCAUGG